rnacentral:rRNA from 1 species
GACGAACGCUGGCGGCGUGCCUAAUACAUGCAAGUCGAACGCUUUGAUUUUCACCGGAGCUUGCUCCACCGAAAAUCAAAGAGCGGCGGACGGGUGAGUAACACGUGGGCAACCUGCCCAACAGAGGGGGAUAACACUUGGAAACAGGUGCUAAUACCGCAUAAUUUGUUUUUCCGCGUGGAAGAAUAAUAAAAGACGCUUCGGUGUCACUGUUGGAUGGGCCCGCGCUGCAUUAGUUAGUUGGUGGGGUAACGGCCUACCAAGACCAUGAUGCAUAGCCGACCUGAGAGGGUGAUCGGCCACACUGGGACUGAGACACGGCCCAGACUCCUACGGGAGGCAGCAGUAGGGAAUCUUCGGCAAUGGACGAAAGUCUGACCGAGCAACGCCGCGUGAGUGAAGAAGGUUUUCGGAUCGUAAAACUCUGUUGUUAGAGAAGAACAAGUGAGAGAGUUACUGUUCUCACCUUGACGGUAUCUAACCAGAAAGCCACGGCUAACUACGUGCCAGCAGCCGCGGUAAUACGUAGGUGGCAAGCGUUGUCCGGAUUUAUUGGGCGUAAAGCGAGCGCAGGCGGUUUCUUAAGUCUGAUGUGAAAGCCCUCGGCUCAACCGAGGAAGGUCAUUGGAAACUGGGGAACUUGAGUGCAGAAGAGGAGAGUGGAAUUCCAUGUGUAGCGGUGAAAUGCGUAGAUAUAUGGAGGAACACCAGUGGCGAAGGCGACUCUCUGGUCUGUAACUGACGCUGAGGCUCGAAAGCGUGGGGAGCAAACAGG